UGAAGGCUAUAGUAAACUACAAUAACUAUUAUUUGGUCUGCCAACUUUACCAUGCCUUUCUUCUAAAAAUUUAGGCCCAGCCAAUCAUCGGAUCCCAUUUCAUUGGAUAUAGUCAUUGGUUCAGUGUGGGCAUGUGAUCUAAACUGGGCCAAUCAGAAUCUUUCCCUGAGAUUCAUGGAAGAAUAUGAAGGCAGCCAUCUUCCCUACCCCUAAGAAUAGAACCAUUUACAGCUGGGAGAGAAAGAAGUCAAAAGAUGCAGUGAUGACUUCCUCCAGUCCUGAGUGCUACUACUCUUUAUCUUCUCUAUUAAGUGCUGACAUAUACUGGCUUCUCACGGAUCUGUUUCCAACAGCACAAUCCGGGUUUUCCCAGGAUCUGGGAAGGCUAUGA
rnacentral:lncRNA from 1 species